rnacentral:lncRNA from 1 species
CCACUCUUCCAGUCAGAGUGGCACAUCUUGAGGUCACGGUCACGAACCACAUUGGCAUCAUCAGCCCGGUAGUAGCGGCCACCAUCGUGAGCCUUCUCUUGAGGUGGCUGGGGCAGGAAGCUGAAGUCGAAACCAGCGCUGGGAGGACCAGGGGGACCAGGAGGACCAGCAUCACCAGUGCGACCGCGAGGACCAGGGGGCCCAAUGGGGCCAGGGAGACCGUUGAGUCCAUCUUUGCCAGGAGCACCAGCAGAGCCAGGGGGACCCUGGAGUGGGGGAAAUGGUUUGAGAAAGGCUGCCAGAAGCCCGAACAACCCCAGCUCUGGAGGAGAGGCCCACCACCCUCCCUGCUGGCUCUGGCCCCACGGCUCAUAGAGCCAGCCUCAGCCUCUUUCCAUAGGACAUGCCAUAGCUCCUCCCAGCCGCUGAGCCAGGGGAGGACGGAUUGGGGAGCAGAGAGGCCAAAGCUAGAUCAGAUUGUUUGUUCAGGAUUCUUCCUCUCUUUGCCCACUCCCUGUCCCUGAACCCUUCUCCAGAGAGGCAAAGGGUGCCUGGGUCCCUGGCAAGGGUCCCCGAGGUGAGCCUGGGCUUGG